rnacentral:rRNA from 1 species
UACAGAGGGGGCAAGCGUUAUUCGGAAUUAUUGGGCGUAAAGGGCGCGUAGGCGGCCUGGCAAGUGGAAGGUGAAAUCCCUCGGCUUAACCGUGGAACUGCCUCCCAAACUGCUUGGCUUGAGACCGGGAGAGGUGAGUGGAAUUCCCAGUGUAGCGGUGAAAUGCGUAGAUAUUCGGCGGAACACCAGUGGCGAAGGCGACUCACUGGCCCGAUACUGACGCUGAGGCGCGAAAGCGUGGGGAGCAAACAGG